GGUGAACUGGCCAGGCCCUGUGAGCGUGUGCAGACCAUGGAAGUGUCCAAGCAGCCUUGCUGUUAGAAAAGAUUCCUGUUUGGAUGUCAGACAGGUAGCCUAACUCCACACAUUUCCCUGAGAUAUCUGGCUUGUUCAGGAGGAAGAUUUCAGUACUGCUGCCCUGUGAACUGGCACUCAGCAUUUGAGUUUCAGUGCUGCCGCUUGUUAGCUGAGUGGAACUGAGAAAGUUGCUGAGCCUCAAUUUCUCCAUCAGAUAUUAAGGAUAAAAGUGCCCAGAUUCUAAACUUCUUGGGAGAAUUAUAAGCAGUGUAUGUCACAUUUCCAUCAUAUUAUCAGGAACUGAGAAAGAACUGAGGACAUCACAGCUAUAACUGUCGACAAGUUGUGCUGGAAGAGACAUUUUGCCCAUUGCUGAUGAGAAAGCAUAAAUCCAGAGGCACCUGGGACUGAAGAUUGGAGGAGGGGGCGCCUGGCUAAUUUCUCAAUAGCUUUGACUUGUGGAAGUCUUACUGCUGUGACUUCUGAAGCAUGGCUGGCCACAACACCUCCUCCUGUGAUGAUGCUAUACUGACACCCCAUUUGACCAGGCUCUACUUCGUAGUACUCAUUGGAGGGCUGAUGGGCAUCAUCUCCAUCUUGUUCCUGCUGGUGAAAAUGAACACCCGGUCCGUGACCACCACGGCCGUCAUUAACCUGGUGGUUGUCCACAGUGUUUUUCUGCUGACAGUGCCUUUUCGCUUGACCUACCUCAUCAAGCACACCUGGAUAUUUGGGUUGCCCUUCUGCAAAUUUGUGAGCGCCAUGCUGCACAUCCACAUGUACCUCACGUUCCUGUUCUAUGUGGUGAUCCUGGUCAUCAGGUACCUCAUCUUCUUCAAGCACAAGGACAAAGUGGAAUUCUACAGAAAACUGCAUGCUGUGGCUGCCAGUACUGCCCUGUGGAUACUGGUGAUUACCAUUGUGGUACCCCUGGUGGCUUCUCAGUAUGGAAUUCGUGAGGGGGCUACAUAUGGAAGUUCCCAGGCUAGGAGAUGAAUUAGAGCUACAGCGGCUGGCUUACGCCACAGACACAGCAACUCAGGAUCUGAGCUGCAACUGCGACCUACACGACAGCUCCCAGCAACACUGGAUCCUUAACCCACUGAGCAAGGCCAAGGAUCAAACCUGCAUCCUCAUGGAUACUAGUCAGCUUUGUUAACCGCUGAGCCACGACGGGAACUCCUAAAGUAAGUUUUAGAGGUAUAUAUUUUCUGGUAUAGUAAUUUUAUUUCUGUAUGUUGGUCCCUAAGAAAUCCACACAUUCACAAAGAUAUAUAUUCAAGAGUAUACACUGCAGCAUUAUUUGUAUUAGCAAAAAGUUAGAAAGGAACUAAAUGUCUGCAAGUGGGUUGUGACACAGUGGAAACGAAUCUGACUAGCGUCCAUGAGGAUGUGGGUUCGAUUCCUGGCCUUGUUCAGUGGGUUAAGGAUCUGGCAUUGCUGCUUGCAGAAGCGGCUCAAAUCCCACAUUGCUGUGGCUGUGGCGUAGGCUGGCAGCUGUAGUUUCAAUUCGACCCCUAGCCUGGGAACUUCCAUAUGCAUGGGUGUGACCCU
rnacentral:lncRNA from 9 species